rnacentral:rRNA from 1 species
GACGGAGGGUGCAAGCGUUGUUCGGAAUUACUGGGCGUAAAGGGCGCGUAGGCGGUCUGUUAAGUUCGGUGUGAAAGCCCCCGGCUCACCUGGGGAACUGCGCCGGAAACCGACAGACUCGAGUACCGGAGAGGAGGGUGGAAUUCCUGGUGUAGCGGUGAAAUGCGUAGAUAUCAGGAGGAACACCGGUGGCGAAGGCGGCCCUCUGGACGGAUACUGACGCUGAGGCGACGAAAGCGUGGGGAUCAAACAGG